rnacentral:rRNA from 1 species
ACGCUAGCUACAGGCUUAACACAUGCAAGUCGAGGGGCAGCAUUUCAGUUUGCUUGCAAACUGGAGAUGGCGACCGGCGCACGGGUGAGUAACACGUAUCCAACCUGCCGAUAACUCGGGGAUAGCCUUUCGAAAGAAAGAUUAAUACCCGAUGGUAUAAUUAGACCGCAUGGUCUUGUUAUUAAAGAAUUUCGGUUAUCGAUGGGGAUGCGUUCCAUUAGGCAGUUGGUGAGGUAACGGCUCACCAAACCUUCGAUGGAUAGGGGUUCUGAGAGGAAGGUCCCCCACAUUGGAACUGAGACACGGUCCAAACUCCUACGGGAGGCAGCAGUGAGGAAUAUUGGUCAAUGGGCGCAGGCCUGAACCAGCCAAGUAGCGUGAAGGAUGACUGCCCUAUGGGUUGUAAACUUCUUUUAUAUGGGAAUAAAGUUUUCCACGUGUGGAAUUUUGUAUGUACCAUAUGAAUAAGGAUCGGCUAACUCCGUGCCAGCAGCCGCGGUAAUACGGAGGAUCCGAGCGUUAUCCGGAUUUAUUGGGUUUAAAGGGAGCGUAGGUGGACAGUUAAGUCAGUUGUGAAAGUUUGCGGCUCAACCGUAAAAUUGCAGUUGAUACUGGCUGUCUUGAGUACAGUAGAGGUGGGCGGAAUUUCGUGGUGUACCGGUGAAAUGCUUAGAUAUCACGAAGAACUCCGAUUGCGAAGGCAGCUCACUGGACUGCAACUGACACUGAUGCUCGAAAGUGU